rnacentral:rRNA from 1 species
AAUGGCCGCAGUAUUUUGACUGUGCAAAGGUAGCAUAAUCAUUAGUUUCUUAAUUAGGAACUGGAAUGAAAGGUUGGACGAGAAAAUAUCUGUCUCUUUAUAAAUUUUUUAGAAUUUUAUUUUUAAGUUAAAAAGCUUAAAUUUUUUUAAAAGACGAGAAGACCCUAUAGAGUUUUAUAUAUGUUAUGUUAAUAAUUUUAAUCGAAUUAAUAGAAUUUUAGUUUAAAAUAUAUUUAGUUGGGGUGAUUAAAAAAUUUAGUAAACUUUUUUUUUAUAAAAACAUUUAUUUAUGAUUUAUUGAUCCAUUUAUUGUUAUGAUUAAAAGAAUAAAUUACCUUAGGGAUAACAGCGUAAUUUCUUUUUAGAGUUCAAAUCGAUAAAGAAGUUUGCGACCUCGAUGUUGGAUUAAAAUUUAAUUUUGGUGUAGAAGCUAAAAUAUUAGGUCUGUUCGACCUUUAAAAUUUUACAUGAUCUGAGU